CAAAAUUUGCAAGGUUUCUCUACGGCUCAGAAGUUCUGAAGGUUUCUCUACAUAUUAUCCUCAAUAUGACAAUGAGGAUCAUAUCAGAGAGCAACAAGUCACAUGGAAAGUCCUAUGAUCAACUAUAGAACUAUAGAAGGAUGCUGACCAAACUUGAAUUCAGCUGAUCAGAUAGCAGAAUAGAAGAGAUGCAAGUGACAAGAGAGUACAUUGAUAAUAUAGAGGCCCCAUUUUUGCUUGUUGCAGAGGGCUUGGAGGAAGGAAUCCAUGAUUUCAGAUAAGUGAAAUAUGGUCACUUUUAGUAGUGGUUUUGCACAUUUUCAUCUUAUAUAUAGAUGUGCAAAGACUCACACAAGGGAGAAUUGUCGAUGUUCAUGGACGAGUCAUGGUGAUGUUAUCUAUUGGAUGUAAGGAUGGAGAAGCACGUAUAAGAAUGACACUAUUUGGCUCUGGCUAGAUGUUAGAUUAUACAUUUGCAUCAAGUAGACUUGCUUUCAGGUUUAAAAUAUGUUAUAUUUGUAUGGAGAGUGACUAUAGAUUUUUAAUAAUUUUAUGUUGAUCGGUGAUGACUUUCUA